rnacentral:rRNA from 1 species
GGUUAAGUGACUAAGCGUACACGGUGGAUGCCUGGGCAGUCAGAGGCGAUGAAGGACGUACUAACUUGCGAUAAGCGCAGAUAAGGCAGUAAGAGCCGUUUGAGUCUGCGAUUUCCGAAUGGGGAAACCCAACUGCAUAAGCAGUUACUGUUAACUGAAUACAUAGGUUAACAGAGCAAACCGGGGGAACUGAAACAUCUAAGUACCCCGAGGAGAAGAAAUCAACCGAGAUUCCGGUAGUAGCGGCGAGCGAACCUGGAUUAGCCCUUAAGCACUCGGUGAAGUAGGUGAACAAGCUGGAAAGCUUGGCGAUACAGGGUGAUAGCCCCGUAACCGACGCUUCAUCGAGCGUGAAAUCGAGUAGGGCGGGACACGUGAUAUCCUGUCUGAAUAUGGGGGGACCAUCCUCCAAGGCUAAAUACUCCUGACUGACCGAUAGUGAACCAGUACCGUGAGGGAAAGGCGAAAAGAACCCCUGUGAGGGGAGUGAAAUAGAACCUGAAACCGUGUACGUACAAGCAGUAGGAGCACCUUCGUGGUGUGACUGCGUACCUUUUGUAUAAUGGGUCAGCGACUUAUAUUCAGUGGCAAGGUUAACCGUAUAGGGGAGCCGUAGCGAAAGCGAGUCUUAACUGGGCGCUCAGUCUCUGGAUAUAGACCCGAAACCGGGUGAUCUAGCCAUGGGCAGGUUGAAGGUUGAGUAACAUCAACUGGAGGACCGAACCGACUAAUGUUGAAAAAUUAGCGGAUGACUUGUGGCUAGGGGUGAAAGGCCAAUCAAACUCGGAGAUAGCUGGUUCUCCCCGAAAGCUAUUUAGGUAGCGCCUCGGACGAAUACUACUGGGGGUAGAGCACUGUUAAGGCUAGGGGGUCAUCCCGACUUACCAACCCUUUGCAAACUCCGAAUACCAGUAAGUACUAUCCGGGAGACACACGGCGGGUGCUAACGUCCGUCGUGGAGAGGGAAACAACCCAGACCGCCAGCUAAGGUCCCAAAGUAUUGCUAAGUGGGAAACGAUGUGGGAAGGCUCAGACAGCUAGGAUGUUGGCUUAGAAGCAGCCAUCAUUUAAAGAAAGCGUAAUAGCUCACUAGUCGAGUCGGCCUGCGCGGAAGAUGUAACGGGGCUAAGCAAUACACCGAA